rnacentral:rRNA from 1 species
UGGAUAACUGUGGGAAAUCUAGAGCUAAUACAUGCAAAUCUGGGUAGCAAUACCUGGAGCAUUUAUUGGACAUAGCCAACAAGAGGUGGUAACACAUCUCUUAAAGGUGAAUCUAGAUAACUGUGCAUAUCGUAUGGUCUUGAACCGGCGAUAGUUCGAUCGAAUUUCUGCCCUAUCAACUAGUUGGUUGGGUAGUGGCCAACCAAGGUUGUGACGGGUAACGGGGAAUCAGGGUUCGAUUCCGGAGAGGGAGCCUGAGAAACGGCUACCACAUCUAAGGAAGGCAGCAGGCGCGCAAAUUACCCAAUCCAGACAUUGGGAGGUAGUGACGAGAAAUACCAAAGUGUGCCUUUUGGUUCACUAUUGGAAUGAACGUAACAUAGUACCUUCGAUGAGUACCUACUGGAGGGCAAGUCUGGUGCCAGCAGCCGCGGUAAUUCCAGCUCCAGUAGUGUAUAUCAAAAUUGUUGCGGUUAAAACGCUCGUAGUUGGAUUACAAAAGUUUGGCGCCAGUCAAGCACUAGCUUGGUUGGUGUUGGGCUUUUUUAUCGCAAGAACCACUCGUGCAUUUAAACGUGUGCGGGUGACCACUUGCGGAGUGUGCCUUGAAUAAAGCACAGUGCUCAAAGCAAGCGUAACGCUCGAAUGUUUAAGCAUGGAACGAAUAACUUUGACUACAGGUUCAGUUGUUGGUUAUCUGAACCGGGUCCUGAUUAAAAGGGACAUUUGAGGGCGUUAGUACUUGGCAGCGAGAGGUGAAAUU